AUGUUAUAUGCACUAAAAAUUCAUAAAUAUUCAGAAAAAAACGUAUUAAAUUUUCAGGGCAUUCUGAGAACUUUUAUUUCUUGGGUCUUUUUUUAUUGCACGUGA
rnacentral:rRNA from 1 species